AGCCCACUUGUACCAGUCUCCUCCAGCCCAGCCCACUUGUACCAGUCUCCUCCAGCCCAGCCCACUUGUACCAGUCUCCUCCAGCCCAGCCCACGUGUACCAGUCUCCUCCAGCCCAGCCCACGUGUACCAGUCUCCUCCAGCCCAGCCCACGUGUACCAGUCUCCUCCAGCCCAGCCCACUUCUACUAGUCUCCUCCAGCCCAGCCCACUUCUACCGGUCUCCUCCAGCCCAGCCCACAUCUACCAGUCUCCUCCAGCCCAGCCCACUUCUACCAGUCUCCUCCAGCCCCGUGACGCCCCCCCCCGACUACGAAGACUUUACAAACCCUGAAUUGGCAGCCUGGCCACAACAUGUCCCUGCGACAAGACCUCGUCCCCUCUGACUGGAAAAUGGAUUGCGUAACACCGAUUUUUAAGAAUUAUUGGUCCAUUAGUCUGACUUCACUAGUAGAAGAUGCAGCUGUAGCCGGACUGUUGCCUGCACCCCGAGAGCCCUGACACACUCCCUGUCCACCUCUGCGGGGGUCGUUUACUGCCCAUACAAGCACAGCGUGGGAAAACAAUUGGUCCGUUCGCAGCCUGGCGUCUUAAUCCCUAUCACCGCUACAGUUUUGAUUUCCCCUUCACUUCCCUGGCCAGAGGAGCGACUUAGCGCUUGUCAACGCUAAUUUGCAAAGAGAAUUUGACGUCUGAGAAUGUUGAGGAGAGUUAUUAAAUUAUUAGGAAUGAGGAACAGGAGGAGGAGGAGGGGAAGGUAAUGAAACUAGGAGGAAGAGGAAGGAGUAGU